rnacentral:lncRNA from 1 species
AUGCCAGUUCUUCUGUUGGAGCAAAGGAAUUGGGGGAAGAAAAGCAUCUCAGUUAAAACUGGGAUACCCUCAGAAGCUUCAUUUCCAAGACUUUUAUCUGAUGAGCACCCGGAUGCCAACAGCUUGCCUGGUGCUCUGUGGCCCUGAGGGAAGCACGCUGGAUGCACCUGUGUCAAGCACUCUGGGAUUUAGUGGUGGUAACUUCUUGGAGUGUCUAGACUUCUAGACAGAAGAAGAGUGGGAAUUCUGCCAUCAGAAAAGUCUGUGCAAAUGAAUCCUGAUUAAUGAGAGGGAAGGUGAGUUUUAUUCACACUGUUUGGUUUUGAUUUUAACUUGAGUACUGAAAAACACUCAGGAGAAAACUGGUCUCACCCUUUCUUCAGGGCAGAAGAAGUUCAAACUGAACAUGUGAGGUCUCCAAUGACUCCUCCAGCAAAGUUCUGAGAGAAUUACCCUUCCUGGUAGCUUAAAGGUGUGAAAAAAAAAAAAGAAAGAAAAGAAAAAGAAAAACACCUUCCUCUCCCACAUUCUGUCAUACAUUCAACCUUUUUAUAAAUUAUUGAGAAACAUGACAAUUAAUAGUUUAUCUUUUAAAACAUUCUUACCUAGAUUUUUGAACAAAUGGAGAAACAGAUGGGGCAUUCACCCAUCUUUAUCCUACACUAGGGAGUGCUUUAUACUUCCAUGAGGCAUAACAAAUGGUUCCAUUUGCUAUGGGGUUUGCUCUCAGCUGGGACAGAAACUGGGGU